rnacentral:rRNA from 1 species
UACGCUGGCGGCACGCCUAAUACAUGCAAGUCGAACGGAGUAGCAAUACUUAGUGGCAGACGGGUGAGUAACAUGUAGGUAUCUGCCCUUUGGCCUGGAAUAACACGAGGAAACUUGUGCUAAUACCGGAUAAGUCUUUACGGAGAAAGCUUUAUGCACCAAUGGAUGAGCCUGCACUUGAUUAGUUUGUUGGUGGGGUAAUGGCCUACCAAGACUGUGAUCAAUAGCUGAUUUGAGAGGAUGAUCAGCCACAUUGGGACUGAGACACGGCCCAAACUCCUACGGGAGGCAGCAGUGGGGAAUCUUGCACAAUGGAGGAAACUCUGAUGCAGCGAUGCCGCGUGAGUGAAGAAGGCCCUUGGGUUGUAAAGCUCUUUCGUCGGGGAAGAAAAUGACUGUACCCGAAUAAGAAG